rnacentral:lncRNA from 10 species
GAUGAGGAGUGUGAAGCAUGUCCACUCAAUGUAAAUGGUGAGACAACAGAAAUCAUUAAAAUGUAUUGAAAAUAUGAAUACCAUUUAAAAAACGAACAAUUCAAGUGUAAUCUUUGACUACGGAUGACAUAAGCAGUAUAGUGAAGUUUCUUAUUUUGCAUCAGAACAAGUGUGCUGUUGUUCAUUUUUUUAAAAGAAAAUUGAUAAGUAUUACCACAAUUAAUAGAUACCUGAAUGACUAAGAGAAGGGUCAAAUGAAUGAAUCCGUGAAAAAUAUUUCAAUCCUGUUACCUUCUCUGCUUUGCACUUCCCAGAAUGGACACACCUGGGCUGGCAGAACAUCUUGCCUUGAUCUGGAGCCCCAUGUCUGCCCCUCUGUAGAGGUGCACAUGGGCCAAUGAUGGAUGCAAUGAGCUGAUCAUUUUGCUGUGAUCAAGGCUAUGUUGCCUCUGUGUUAGGCCAAUGGUUGAUGUUCAUGGGUGAUUGAUCAUCCUGUAGCGACGGUGGUAUUGACUGUUCCCCAGAGGACAAGGAGUGUGUUCUUAUAAUGGACAUCAUGAUUGGGAUUGUCUUUAUUAAACUUUGUCAGGAGAGUAAAGAUCAAUGUGGCCACAUGUUGUGGCUCAUGCCUGUAAUCCCAACACUGUAAUCCCAGCACUGUAAUCCCAGCCUGUAAUCCCAGGCUGAGGUGGGCGGAUCACCUGAGGUUGGGAGUUCGAGACCAGCCUGACCAACAUGGAGAAACCCCGUCUCUACUAAAAAUACAAAAUUAGCCGGGCAUGGUGGCGCAUGUCUUUAAUUCCAGCUACUCAGGAGGCUGAGGCAGGAGAAACGCUUGAACCCGAGAGGCGGAGGUUGCAGUGAGCUGAGAUUGCGCCAUUGCACUCCAGCCUGGGCAACAAGAGUGAAACUCCAUCUCAAAAG